rnacentral:rRNA from 1 species
AUUGAACGCUGGCGGCAUGCCUUACACAUGCAAGUCGAACGGUAACAGGUCUUCGGAUGCUGACGAGUGGCGAACGGGUGAGUAAUACAUCGGAACGUGCCUAGUAGUGGGGGAUAACUACUCGAAAGAGUGGCUAAUACCGCAUGAGAUCUACGGAUGAAAGCAGGGGAUCGCAAGACCUUGUGCUACUAGAGCGGCCGAUGGCAGAUUAGGUAGUUGGUGGGAUAAAAGCUUACCAAGCCGACGAUCUGUAGCUGGUCUGAGAGGACGAUCAGCCACACUGGGACUGAGACACGGCGCAGACUCCUACGGGAGGCAGCAGUGGGGAAUUUUGGACAAUGGGCGCAAGCCUGAUCCAGCAAUGCCGAGUGCAGGAUGAAGGCCUUCGGGUUGUAAACUGCUUUUGUACGGAACGAAAAGCCCUGGGUUAAUACCCUGGGGUCAUGACGGUACCGUAAGAAUAAGCACCGGCUAACUACGUGCCAGCAGCCGCCGUAACAC